UACGAAGGGGGCUAGCGUUGCUCGGAAUUACUGGGCGUAAAGCGCACGUAGGCGGCUUUCUAAGUCGGGGUGAAAUCCUGGAGCUCAACUCCAGAACUGCCUUCGAUACUGGAAAGCUCGAGUCCGGGAGAGGUGAGUGGAACUGCGAGUGUAGAGGUGAAAUUCGUAGAUAUUCGCAAGAACACCAGUGGCGAAGGCGGCUCACUGGCCCGGUACUGACGCUGAGGUGCGAAAGCGUGGGGAGCAA
rnacentral:rRNA from 1 species